rnacentral:lncRNA from 1 species
GGAACUACAAAUUAAAGGAAGUUUUCUUAUAAUGAAGCCGACUAUGAUGCGAGAACGUCUCUCCUUUCUUCCCUGAGCCGUCGUCUUCCCCUGUACUGGCACGUAGGUGCCUAAUGAUUGGUCGUUGGUCGUGUUACCACUGAGAUGUGGCAGGCCAAAUUCGAUCCCAUACACUAAGCUCAUAUCGAAUUGGUGUAACGUGACUAACGUCCUUCUAAAGUUAUGUAACAUAAUAUGUG